rnacentral:rRNA from 1 species
UGCAAGUCGAACGAUGAUCAGGAGCUUGCUCCUGUGAUUAGUGGCGAACGGGUGAGUAACACGUGAGUAACCUGCCCCUGACUCUGGGAUAAGCGUUGGAAACGACGUCUAAUACUGGAUACGAUCACCGGCCGCAUGGUCUGGUGGUGGAAAGAUUUUUUGGUUGGGGAUGGACUCGCGGCCUAUCAGCUUGUUGGUGAGGUAAUGGCUCACCAAGGCGACGACGGGUAGCCGGCCUGAGAGGGUGACCGGCCACACUGGGACUGAGACACGGCCCAGACUCCUACGGGAGGCAGCAGUGGGGAAUAUUGCACAAUGGGCGAAAGCCUGAUGCAGCAACGCCGCGUGAGGGAUGACGGCCUUCGGGUUGUAAACCUCUUUUAGUAGGGAAGAAGCGAAAGUGACGGUACCUGCAGAAAAAGCACCGGCUAACUACGUGCCAGCAGCCGCGGUAAUACGUAGGGUGCAAGCGUUGUCCGGAAUUAUUGGGCGUAAAGAGCUCGUAGGCGGUUUGUCGCGUCUGCUGUGAAAUCCCGAGGCUCAACCUCGGGCUUGCAGUGGGUACGGGCAGACUAGAGUGCGGUAGGGGAGAUUGGAAUUCCUGGUGUAGCGGUGGAAUGCGCAGAUAUCAGGAGGAACACCGAUGGCGAAGGCAGAUCUCUGGGCCGUAACUGACGCUGAGGAGCGAAAGCAUGGGGAGCGAACAGGAUUAGAUACCCUGGUAGUCCAUGCCGUAAACGUUGGGCGCUAGAUGUAGGGACCUUUCCACGGUUUCUGUGUCGUAGCUAACGCAUUAAGCGCCCCGCCUGGGGAGUACGGCCGCAAGGCUAAAACUCAAAGGAAUUGACGGGGGCCCGCACAAGCGGCGGAGCAUGCGGAUUAAUUCGAUGCAACGC